GAUGAACGCUGGCGGCGUGCUUAACACAUGCAAGUCGAACGGAAAGGCCCAAGCUUGCUUGGGUACUCGAGUGGCGAACGGGUGAGUAACACGUGGGUGAUCUGCCCUGCACUUCGGGAUAAGCCUGGGAAACUGGGUCUAAUACCGGAUAGGACCACAUUUUGGAUGGUGUGGUGGAAAGUUUUUCGGUGUGGGAUGAGCUCGCGGCCUAUCAGCUUGUUGGGGGGGUAAUGGCCUACCAAGGCGUCGACGGGUAGCCGGCCUGAGAGGGUGUACGGCCACAUUGGGACUGAGAUACGGCCCAGACUCCUACGGGAGGCAGCAGUGGGGAAGAUUGCACAAUGGGCGCAAGCCUGAUGCAGCGACGCCGCGUGGGGGAUGACGGCCUUCGGGUUGUAAACUCCUUUCGCUAGGGACGAAGCGUUAUGUGACGGUACCUGGAGAAGAAGCACCGGCUAACUACGUG
rnacentral:rRNA from 1 species